GGCACUGUGUCCGAGUGAUCCAAGGAGUGUGGCUCAAGCGAAAAGCUUGCCCCGUUAUCUAGUAGGGGCUUCUCAUCUGUGUAUGCAGGCAGGGGUUCGAAUCCCUUCGGUGUCA
rfam:Sphaerobolus stellatus SS14 unplaced genomic scaffold SPHSTscaffold_124, whole genome shotgun sequence.